rnacentral:lncRNA from 1 species
AAACAAAACAACUUGAUGGUUCAUCCAUCUCAUGCCCUCGCGCCACUUCCUGUAAUACAAAUUAAAACUGAGUGGGUCAGGCUUGGGAGCCUGGUGAGCAUAUAGGGUUUUCAACCCACAAUAAAUAAUCAUAUUUAAUUUCCACCAACCAACGAUAACCCAAUUACUCAUUCCCGUUAUUCUCACUUUAUGUCCCUAAAACAACUAACAUAAGGGACCUAGUCUAAGAAUAUUUCAUCGGGGCGACAACACAUGCUUCGGGGGUUCCUCAGCAAUAUAAGUCAAAUAAGGCAACCAUGAGGGGGAUGGAGUACAGCGAAUGAAUAAUCAUAUUUAAUUUCCACCAACCAACAAUAACCCAAUUACUCAUUCCCGUUAUUCUCACUUUAUGUCCCUAAAACAACUAACAUAAGGGACCUAGUCUAAGAAUAUUUCAUCGGGGCGACAACACAUGCUUCGGGGGUUCCUCAGCAAUAUAAGUCAAAUAAGGCAACCAUGAGGGGGAUGGAGUACAUCGAAUGAACACCCAAGUUCAUUAACACCUACAGGUGGCGAACCUGCUAAUGUUUCCACAAGACUGUCUAGAAUAGUCCGUGGUCGUCAUCUAAACUCCGCUAGAUGACUAAAUCAAACAACAACGAGGCCUCUCAUCUGUUUAUUACACACCAACUAUCUACCCAUGUUCUACCCAACAUAUUAGU